UACGUAGGGGGCAAGCGUUGUCCGGAUUUAUUGGGCGUAAAGAGCGUGUAGGCGGUUUUACAGGUCCGCUGUGAAAACUCGAGGCUCAACCUCGAGACGUCGGUUGAAACCGUAUGGCUAGAGUCCGGAAGAGGAGAGUGGAAUUCCCGGUGUAGCGGUGAAAUGCGCAGAUAUCGGGAAGAACACCCGUGGCGAAGGCGGCUCUCUGGGACGGUACUGACGCUGAGACGCGAAAGCGUGGGGAGCGAACAGG
rnacentral:rRNA from 1 species